rnacentral:misc_RNA from 1 species
UUUCCGUAGGUGAACCUGCGGAAGGAUCAUUAUUGGAUUUUGAAACUUCAGGCUGCUGCUGGCUCUCCUCGGAGGGCAUGUGCACGCUUGUUGUCCAUUAUUUCUCCCACUGUGCACAAAUUGUAGACCUUUCAGUAGGCCUAUGUUGUUUUUCACAAUCUCUGAAUGUAAUAGAAUGGUUUUGGAUCUUGGGAAAUACAAUACAACUUUCAGCAACGGAUCUCUUGGCUCUC